rnacentral:rRNA from 1 species
GGUGAGUAAUGCCUAGGAAUCUGCCUGGUAGUGGGGGACAACGUUUCGAAAGGAACGCUAAUACCGCAUACGUCCUACGGGAGAAAGCAGGGACCUUCGGGCCUUGCGCUAUCAGAUGAGCCUAGGUCGGAUUAGCUAGUUGGUGAGGUAAUGGCUCACCAAGGCGACGAUCCGUAACUGGUCUGAGAGGAUGAUCAGUCACACUGGAACUGAGACACGGUCCAG